UUAACUGAAGCCAAAAAGAGGCUAUUUAUUGUUAAUAAAUUAAUUGAUAUUUAUAUCCAGUUAAA
rnacentral:tRNA from 1 species